rnacentral:rRNA from 1 species
UGAGCAAUCUGCCCUUCUCAUCGGAAUAAGCGUUGGAAACGACGUCUAAUGCCGAAUACGACCUCCUUUCGCAUGAUCGGAGGUGGAAAGCUCCGGCGGAGAAGGAUGAGCUCGCGGCCUAUCAGCUAGUUGGUGUGGGUAACGGCCCACCAAGGCGAUGACGGGUAGCCGGCCUGAGAGGGUGACCGGCCACACGUGGGACUGAGACACCGGCCCAGACCUCCGUACGGGAGC